CCUACGGGAGGCAGCAGUGGGGAAUAGUGGGCAAUGGGCGCAAGCCUGACCCAGCAACGCCGCGUGAAGGAAGAAGGCUUUCGGGUUGUAAACUUCUUUUGUCAGGGACGAAGCAAGUGACGGUACCUGACGAAUAAGCCACGGCUAACUACGUGCCAGCAGCCGCGGUAAUACGUAGGUGGCAAGCGUUAUCCGGAUUUACUGGGUGUAAAGGGCGUGUAGGCGGGACUGCAAGUCAGAUGUGAAAACCACGGGCUCAACCUGUGGCCUGCAUUUGAAACUGUAGUUCUUGAGUACUGGAGAGGCAGACGGAAUUCCUAGUGUAGCGGUGAAAUGCGUAGAUAUUAGGAGGAACACCAGUGGCGAAGGCGGCUUACUGGACAGUAACUGACGUUGAGGCUCGAAAGCGUGGGGAGCAAACAGGAUUAGAUACCCUAGUAGUC
rnacentral:rRNA from 1 species